UUUUUAUUAUCAUUUGAAAUGAGUAUCUAUUAUCUUUUCAUUUACUAUAUAAACUAGCAAAAACAGUCUCAUCAGUUCGUAUUUAUGUUUAAAACUACUUAAGAUCAUUUUGGAAAGUUAAUUCGUGCUCUACUAACAACAAAGCAUGAAAUCCUUCAUUGUUUUGGUUUUGCUCUCUUGUUUCAUCGCUACCAUUUUUGGAGCUGAUACAGCUUGCCAAGUACAACGGAAACAAGAAUUGGCAAAAGGCACAAUUGGUAACUUCGUGCCAAUGUGUAAUGCAGAUGGUAGCUACAGCCAAGUACAGUGUCGUGGUUCAACUGGAUUCUGCUGGUGCGCUGAUAAGGAUGGAAACCAAAUCACCAAAUCAGUCAGAGGAAAACCUAACUGCUAGACGAGUUAAAACCAGCAGCUUCUUUAGAGGAAAAAUAAACUACAUUUAAAUUUUCUUUUAAAUGUAUUCUGAAAUAAAUAAAAAGAUGGAUUUAUUUAUAA